rnacentral:rRNA from 1 species
AGGACGAACGCUGGCGGCGUGCUUAACACAUGCAAGUCGAACGAUGAUGCCCAGCUUGCUGGGUUGAUUAGUGGCGAACGGGUGAGUAACACGUGAGUAACCUGCCCCUGACUUCGGGAUAACGCUGGGAAACUGGUGCUAAUACCGGAUAUGACGCAUCCUCGCAGUGGGGGGUGUGGUGGAAAGACUGGU